AGGACGAACGCUGGCGGCGUGCUUAACACAUGCAAGUCGAACGAUGAACCACUUCGGUGGGGAUUAGUGGCGAACGGGUGAGUAACACGUGGGCAAUCUGCCCUGCACUCUGGGACAAGCCCUGGAAACGGGGUCUAAUACCGGAUAAUACUCCCGCACUCAUGUGUGGGGGUUAAAAGCUCCGGCGGUGCAGGAUGAGCCCGCGGCCUAUCAGCUUGUUGGUGAGGUAAUGGCUCACCAAGGCGACGACGGGUAGCCGGCCUGAGAGGGCGACCGGCCACACUGGGACUGAGACACGGCCCAGACUCCUACGGGAGGCAGCAGUGGGGGAAUAUUGCACAAUGGGCGAAAGCCUGAUGCAGCGACGCCGCGUGAGGGAUGACGGCCUUCGGGUUGUAAACCUCUUUCAGCAGGGAAGAAGCGCAAGUGACGGUACCUGCAGAAGAAGCGCCGGCUAACUACGUGCCAGCAGCCGCGGU
rnacentral:rRNA from 1 species